GGGUAAGUAUUGUAAUGGUUUAGCAUUAUUGACUGUGACUCAAUAGGUCCGUGUUCGAUUCACGGCUUGCCCA